rnacentral:rRNA from 1 species
AUAAAAUGACUCUCGGCAACGGAUAUCUCGGCUCUUGCAUCGAUGAAGAACGUAGCGAAAUGCGAUACUUGGUGUGAAUUGCAGAAUCCCGUGAACCAUCGAGUUUUUGAACGCAAGUUGCGCCUAAAGCCAUUAGGCUGAGGGCACGCCUGCCUGGGUGUCACAA